CCCUGUGGUAGUAAGCAUUGUAAAUGAAGAAAUGAAAGAGUAGGAGUAGAAUUGGUCCAGUCGUAAUGAGAAAGGUUUCGGGGACGAAACCUCCUUUAAGGGGGGUAGACUUGUAACACCCCAAAACUUGUGUGAUAGAAUAUUUUGAUGUUUUAAUGUCCUACAUGAUUAGUUAAAUUUUAAAUGUAAAGGAAGUUUAUAAACUUUGAGUAAGUAUAUGAAAAUGAUAACAAAGAGUAACCUUGGGGGUUUAAUAUGUAAAAUUUGACAAAUUAUAUAAAAAAAGGGGAAAAGAAAACCCAGUGUUGGGUGUGGGGGUUGCGACGCAGGGAGAGCAGGAAGGGGGAGAACCCUUCUUCUCCAUCUUACCAAGAAAAUCUACAAAUUGAAGGCGAUUUUGGAUGAAUUUCGUUUGCAUGUGAACAAUUUCUCAAUCAUCUAAGAGUUCCUAACCUAGGGAGGAUAACGGGUCAAGAUAAGGCAAGGUGACAAAUACACUUAUUGGAGUACUCAAGGUUAUGAAUGUCGGACUUUCGAAGUGUUGAUAUAAUAAUGAAACGGUUGAAUGUUGAAAGGAUAAUCGGAUUGAAGUAACUUAUGCGGUUAGAAUAUGCUAUGGACGUUUUAGUUUAUACAACAUUUUAUGUUUGGUCAUCAUCUACCAACGGGUAAAUCCUCAAUUCAGGCGACUUGGAGAAUCGGAGCGAGCGCGUGUUCAUGUUAUGUCAUACCAAACGCUUCCGCUAGCUUGUUCAAAUGUUUUUAGUCCAAAAUUUGUUGUUUUGGUUCUUAGUUGUAUUUUGUCGAAUGAAUCGUAGAAUUGUAUCUAGUUUGUUUAUGUUUAAAACAGGGGUAUGCUCGUUUUAUGGACGGGUCAUGCCCACUUUUUGUUAAAUUAAUGCACCUGCGUUAUUGAUAUUAUCAUUUAAAAUUCCGAAAA